ensembl:lncRNA
CAGUAUGAGUGGGUUUUUAGGGAGCAUUCUCUGGAAAACAAACCAUUCCCUCUGGUUCAGUAUGGUGGGUUAGUGUGGAAAGGUGAUGUUUUUGAGAUGUACGAACACAGAUGGUGAUGGAUACGAACAGGCUGAUGAAGGCUGUGCAUGUUUGCUCUUGGAAAUCAUCUGUUCCUGAACAUCAUCAUGGCUUGACACAAGAUUCGUCCAACCAUUCCAGUAAUGCAUUGGAAUGCCUUGAGGUUGGAUCCCAGUGGAUUCCGCAACUCAAUCAAGGCCAGGUCAUUGCUGUUUUCUGCAGGAAGAUGGCCCCUGAAGCCCCUGGCAGCCCGACAUUGGCAUCAUCUCCGUAACUGGCAACUAUAUUGUCCACAGUAGCAGCUGUGACUCACCUCGGGGACGAAGCGCUGGUCUCACUGCACAUGGUCAUGUAAGACCAAAUUAAAACCAAUGCCAAAUACAGUAACUGAGACACAGAGGACACACUAGAGGACAUUGACUGUCCUUCAGGGUGCAAGUUUUAAUUUUCACAUAAGUAUGCAGAUGCUGUUAUUAGCUUUUUAUGUGCAUGAUAAUACUGAAUGACUUAAAGUCGCCAUGAUAUCAAAAUGUACAAUUCUUAUUUUUAUAUGUAAUAUUAUAGUGUUUAUAAUAGAUGAUUUAUCUGUGCGCUUCAUUCUUUUUUUAAAAAUUCAUGUGUCCUCAUAAUCUUUAAUCAAAUACAUAAACCUUCCCUCCCCCCUCAAAAUGACUUCUCUUCUAUUUCUGUCAUGUGCUAUGGCGUGAGAAUUAGAUGGUAUUGAGGAUUAGAUCAUUUAAUUUAAUUGAGAAUUUGACAAUUUAGGCAUUUUAUAUGGACACCCAACAAUAAAAUCAAUAUCAUUUGAAUCUGAAAUUAAGAG